rnacentral:rRNA from 1 species
AACGAACGCUGGCGGCAUGCCUAACACAUGCAAGUCGAACGAGACCUUCGGGUCUAGUGGCGCACGGGUGCGUAACGCGUGGGAAUCUGCCCUUGGGUUCGGAAUAACAGUUAGAAAUGACUGCUAAUACCGGAUGAUGACGUAAGUCCAAAGAUUUAUCGCCCAAGGAUGAGCCCGCGUAGGAUUAGCUAGUUGGUAAGGUAAAGGCUUACCAAGGCGACGAUCCUUGCUGGUCUGAGAGGAUGAUCAGCCACACUGGGACUGAGACACGGCCCAGCCUCCUAGGGGAGGCAGCGGGGGGAAAUAUUGGACAAUGGGCGAAAGCCUGAUCCGGCAAUGCCGCGUGAGUGAUGAAGGCAUUAGGGUUGUAAAGCUCUUUUACCAGGGAUGAUAAUGACAGUACCUGGAGAAUAAGCCCCGGCUAACUCCGUGCCAGCCGCCGCGGUAA